CGAACGGGUGAGUAACGCGUGAGGAACCUGCCUCAAAGAGGGGGACAACAGUUGGAAACGACUGCUAAUACCGCAUAAGCCCACGGCUCGGCAUCGAGCAGAGGGAAAAGGAACAAUCCGCUUUGAGAUGGCCUCGCGUCCGAUUAGCUAGUUGGUGAGGUAACGACCCACCAAGGCGACGAUCGGUAGCCGGACUGAGAGGUUGAACGGCCACAUUGGGACUGAGACACGGCCCAG
rnacentral:rRNA from 1 species